UGAGGAAUAUUGGACAAUGGGUGGAAGCCUGAUCCAGCCAUCCCGCGUGAAGGAAUAAGGGCCUAUGGCUUGUAAACUUCUUUUGUACAGGGAUAAACCUACCCUCGUGAGGGUAGCUGAAGGUACUGUACGAAUAAGCACCGGCUAACUCCGUGCCAGCAGCCGCGGCAAUACGGAGGGUGCAAGCGUUAUCCGGAUUUAUUGGGUUUAAAGGGUCCGUAGGCGGGCUUGUAAGUCAGUGGUGAAAGCCGGCAGCUUAACUGUCGAACUGCCAUUGAUACUGUAAGCCUUGAGUAUAUUUUGAGGUAGCUGGGAAUAAGUAGUGUAGCGGUGAAAUGCGUAGAUAUUACUUAGAACACCAAUUGCGAAGGCAGGUUACCAAGUUAUAACUGACGCUGAUGGACGAAAAGCGUGGGGAGCGAACAGGAUUAGAUACCCUGGUAGUCCACGCUGUAAACGAUGCUAACUCGUUUUU
rnacentral:rRNA from 1 species